GUGACCUCAAAUCAGGUAGGACUACCCGCUGAACUUAAGCAUAUCAAUAAGCGGAGGAAAAGAAACUAACAAGGAUUCCCCUAGUAACUGCGAGUGAAGCGGGAAAAGCUCAAAUUUAAAAUCUGGCGGUCUUUUGGCUGUCCGAGUUGUAAUCUAGAGAAGUGUUAUCCGCGCUGGACCGUGUACAAGUCUCCUGGAAUGGAGCAUCAUAGAGGGUGAGAAUCCCGUCUUUGACAUGGACUGCCAGGGCUUUUGUGAUGCGCUCUCAAAGAGUCGAGUUGUUUGGGAAUGCAGCUCAAAAUGGGUGGUAAAUUCCAUCUAAAGCUAAAUAUUGGCGAGAGACCGAUAGCGAACAAGUACCGUGAGGGAAAGAUGAAAAGAACUUUGGAAAGAGAGUUAAACAGUACGUGAAAUUGCUGAAAGGGAAACGCUUGAAGUCAGUCGCGUCAUCCAGGGAUCAACCUUGCUUUUGCUUGGUGCACUUCCUGGUUUGAUGGGUCAGCAUCAAUUUUGGCCGCUGGAAAAAGGCUGAGGGAAUGUGGCAUCUUCGGAUGUGUUAUAGCCCUUAGUCACAUACAGUGGCUGGGAUUGAGGAACUCAGCACGCCGCAAGGCCGGGUUUUAAACCACGUACGUGCUUAGGAUGCUGGCAAUAUGGCUUUAAUCGACCCGUC
rnacentral:rRNA from 1 species